rnacentral:lncRNA from 1 species
AUCCCUGUCGUGGUCACAUAGAAUGAAUAUUUGCUUCACCCUCACACCGCGCGCGGAUGGUAGAAGACCUUCUGCACUUGUGAUUCCUAAACAAUCUGUUAUAGUAAACCUACUCUACUCGAGCAUAGUAUCUAGAACUCUUACGAACAAUCAAAAUUACAAAAAAUGCACUGUUGGAAUAUUACAUGAGGGCCGAGCAACUACGCGAAUAUUUUAAGCAUUCCAGUGUUAUUGUGAACAAUCAACGAUUUGACAUAAUAAAGUGUUACCAAUGUAAAUUGAUACAAUGGGGGUCUUUUUGAUCUCGGUCUGGCGAAGCCCAGAACACUGAAAUCUCAAUGCAGGUCACGAUCCCAUGGAACGACUGCAUGAUGGGUGCCAUCGUCUUCUCAAGCAUGUUCUGUUGGUCGUCCCUCAGGUCUGGCUUGCACCCCAAUCACAGGCGCCUUCAAGUGUAAUAAAAAAAAGCAUUGGACAACACAGAUCAAGACCGGCAACCCUGGGAAUCACCAACCAUGCCCGGACCAAACCUGCGACAACCACAAACAACCAUGAUGACGGGGUCAAUACCAGCGCAAACAACAAAUCAAUCUGCAAAGGAAACAGGGGUGGAGCUAGAUCCAACCAUUCUCCAUUAAAUAAUACAUAAACACCAUGGUUAAAUUGCUAAUUGUUGGAUCAAAUUGGAUAUCCUGAUUAAAAAGCUUUGCCCAGGCUCAUCGAAGGGCAUCCUCACCUCUUCCAGAGAUCACGCUGGCCCUUGGCAGGGAUUGAGCGCUAGAGCCUGUCCAUCAGCACACACACACAGGAUCUACCCCACCUCCCUCCACACCCGUCAACUGCCACCGGGCCUGCUGCGCCGACGAGCUAGCGGCACCGAGGCGAGCCGCUCAACGUGGG